UGGGGAAUCUUGGACAAUGGGCGCAAGCCUGAUCCAGCCAUGCCGCGUGAGUGAAGAAGGCCUUCGGGUUGUAAAGCUCUUUUACCAGGGACGAUAAUGACGGUACCUGGAGAAUAAGCCCCGGCAAACUUCGUGCCAGCAGCCGCGGUAAUACGAAGGGGGCUAGCGUUGUUCGGAAUUACUGGGCGUAAAGCGCACGUAGGCGGAUUGUUAAGUCAGAGGUGAAAUCCCGGAGCUCAACUUCGGAACUGCCUUUGAUACUGGCAAUCUAGAGUCCGGAAGAGGUUAGUGGAAUUCCCAGUGUAGAGGUGAAAUUCGUAGAUAUUGGGAAGAACACCAGUGGCGAAGGCGGCUAACUGGUCCGGUACUGACGCUGAGGUGCGAAAGCGUGGGAGCAAACAGGAUUAGAUACCCUAGUAGUCCCUGAGCGGGCUGGCAAGGCGCAU
rnacentral:rRNA from 1 species